rnacentral:rRNA from 1 species
CAGUAGCCGCGGUAAUACGAGGGGUGCAAGCGUUAUUCGGAUUGAUUGGGUGUAAAGGGUGUGCAGACGGCUUAUUAAGUCACUUGUUAAAUUCUUCGGCCUAACUGAAGGUCUGCAAGCGAUACUGAUGAGCUAGAGGGUGGAAGAGAGAAGUGGAAUUCUCGGAGUAGCGGUAAAAUGCGUAGAUCUCGAGGGGAACACCAAUGGCGAAGGCAGCUUCUUGGUCCAUUCCUGACGUUCAUACACGAAAGCGUGGGGAGCAAACAGGAUUAGAUACCCGCGUAGUCCCUGUCUCUUAUAA